GGUGAUUUUAGUAUUUUGUCUGAUGAUGAUAAGUUUAUAUAUCUUUUUAAAAGUACUGCUUUGGUGUGGUUGACAAGACCUGAUGUAAUAUUCUAAGUAGAAGAAAUUGUUUUUUUUAUAUGCUUCAUUGAUAGUGAUGAUUUUACAGACCUGAAAUAUUUUUAUAGACAUGAUCAAUGCAGUUAUAUGGUGUUUUUUGUAUUUCUGGCGAUUAU
rnacentral:lncRNA from 1 species